rnacentral:rRNA from 1 species
ACGGGUGAGUAACGCGUAGACAACCAACCUUUUUGUGGGGGACAACACUUCGAAAGGAGUGCUAAUACCGCAUACGCUCUUGAUGCCGCCUGGUGUUGAGAGGAAAGGAGCUUUACGGCUUCGCAAAAAGACGGGUCUGCGUCUGAUUAGCUAGUUGGAGGGGUAACGGCCCACCAAGGCGACGAUCAGUAGCCGGUCUGAGAGGAUGGACGGCCACACUGGGACUGAGACACGGCCCAGACUCCUACGGGAGGCAGCAGUGGGGAAUCUUCCGCAAUGGACGAAAGUCUGACGGAGCGACGCCGCGUGAGUGAUGAAGGCCCUUGGGUCGUAAAGCUCUGUCAUCGGGGACGAACGGUCACGUCAGGAAAUGGGCGUGAAUUGACGGUACCCGAGAAGGAAGCCACGGCUAACUACGUGCCAGCAGCCGCGGUAAUACGUAGGUGGCGAGCGUUGUCCGGAAUUAUUGGGCGUAAAGCGCGCGCAGGUGGGAUCUUAAGUCUGUUCUGAAAGUUCGGAGCUUAACUCCGUGAUGGGAUGGAAACUGGGAUUCUUGAGUAUCGGAGAGGAAAGCGGAAUUCCCCGU